AUGCGAGUCGAGAGGGUUCGGCCCUCGGCUGACGGCUCAGUAACACGUGGAUAACCUGCCCUCAGGUAGGGGAUAAUCUCGGGAAACUGAGGAUAAUACCCUAUAAACAUCCUUUGCUGGAAUGCUUGGAUGUUCAAAGGCAACGCCUGAGGAUGGGUCUGCGGCCUAUCAGGUUGUAGUGGGUGUAACGGACCCACUAGCCAGCGACGGGUACGGGCCUUGAAAGAGGUAGCCCGGAGAUGGACUCUGAGACACGAGUCCAGGCCCUACGGGGCGCAGCAGGCGCGAAAACUUCGCAAUGCGGGAAACCGUGACGAGGGAAUUCCGAGUGCUCAUACAAUGUAUGGGCUUUUCUGAUGUGUAAAAAGCAUUAGGAAUAAGGGCUGGGUAAGACCGGUGCCAGCCGCCGCGGUAAUACCGGCAGCUCUAGUGGUAGCCACUUUUAUUGGGCCUAAAGCGUCCGUAGCCGGUCAGGUAAAUCCUUGGGUAAAUCGUACAGCUUAACUGUGCGGCUUCCGGGGAGACUGCCUGACUUGGGACCGGGAGAGGUUGGAGGUACUCCUGGGGUAGGGGUGAAAUCCUGUAAUCCUAGGUGGACCACCGGUGGCGAAGGCGUCCAACCAGAACGGCUCCGACGGUGAGGGACGAAGGCUAGGGGCGCAAACCGGAUUAGAUACCCGGGUAGUCCUAGCUGUAAACGCUGCAGACUUGGUGUUGGAGAUCCUACGAGGGUGUCCAGUGCCGGAGAGAAGUUGUUAAGUUUGCCGCCUGGGAAGUAUGGCCGCAAGGCUGAAACUUAAAGGAAUUGGCGGGGGAGCACCGCAACGGGAGGAGCGUGCGGUUUAAUUGGAUUCAACGCCGGAA
rnacentral:rRNA from 1 species